rnacentral:lncRNA from 1 species
GUUCAUGUGCAGCAGUUAACCUAUAAAUGCACGCUCCCUAUUGGCACAUAUACGAGAUAAAGGGAAAGUUCAUUUUCCUGGAUAGUUCAGGGACACUUUCACUCUUCAUACCAGCAUCAGGUCUGGCCUGUUUAAGUAAAGCCUGUGGCAUCUGUGAUGUGUGUAUACUGACUGUGAUGAUAACUGAUACUGAGAUGAUAACUCUGAAUGGAUCUGCUGCAAAGAAACUAUCUGAUGCUGGUUUCAUUCUUUUGGUGUUAAUCAUUUUGAGAACACUGAGAUCCCGCUGGCUCAAUUUCUGAGUUUGUCAAGUUGCACCUGGAACAAGAAUCUGACCUUGAGAUCUGCACUAUGGAAGAUCUGCAGCUGUGUAGAGCAAAAAUAGAAAAUCUGGAAUCUUCUAUUUCUACUUUUUCAUAAUCAAGGAGCAUCUAUCCAAGUACUGUUUUACCACUUUGGUUGAUAAUGUAUGACAUUUGAUGGUUUUAGGGUUUCCAUGAAUGAGUUUCUAACUGAGAACUGUUUUUCCAAGUGAAGGACAAUGGAGGCAUGGAAAAGAACCUGUAAAAAAUUAACACGAAUAAGGUGUUUUCUCUAAAAACUACUUGAAGUUCCUUGUGUGUACUCUCAAAGUCCUCAGUAAAAACAUACAAGUGGGCCAAAUUCAUGUCCCACUGAUGGUAAUUCCCAGUACUCAACUAAAAUUUUGUGUUGCCAGUGCCUACUAUCAGGACAAUUUUAUCAAUAUUUACUGGAUAGAAAUGUAUAUCAGAUAAUUUUUCAAGGCAUUUAGAGCUCUCUUUUCCCUCCUGUUCAGCCACUUAGCACAGCUGCUGUUGUAGCAAUUCUUCCUAGACAGGUUUUGGCAAGACAAAAGCAGUAGUGAAUCAUAAUCAUACAAUCAUAGAAUGGCCUGGGUUGAAAAGGACCACAGUGAUCAUCGAGUUUCAACCCCCCUAUGUGCUAUGUGCAGGGUCACCAACCAGCAGACCAGGCUGCCCAGAGCCACAUCCAGCCUGGCCUUGAAUGCCUCCAGGGAUGGGGCAUCCACAACCUCUAGUGAGUGCACUACAAAGAAUAAAAACAGCAAAUGUACAACA